rnacentral:rRNA from 1 species
AUUGAACGCUGGCGGCAUGCCUAACACAUGCAAGUCGAACGAGGGCUUCGGCCCUAGUGGCGCACGGGUGAGUAACACGUGGGAACCUGCCUUUCGGUUCGGGAUAACGUCUGGAAACGGACGCUAACACCGGAUACGCCCCCCAUUCGAGAGUUUGGGGGGGAAAGUUCACGCCGAGAGAGGGGCCCGCGUCCGAUUAGGUAGUUGGUGGGGUAACGGCCCACCAAGCCGACGAUCGGUAGCUGGUCUGAGAGGAUGAUCAGCCACACUGGGACUGAGACACGGCCCAGACUCCUACGGGAGGCAGCAGUGGGGAAUAUUGGACAAUGGGGGCAACCCUGAUCCAGCAAUGCCGCGUGAGUGAUGAAGGCCUUCGGGUUGUAAAGCUCUUUCGCACGCGACGAUGAUGACGGUAGCGUGAGAAGAAGCCCCGGCUAACUUCGUGCCAGCCGCCGCGGUAA